rnacentral:lncRNA from 10 species
ACUUCAGUGAGGUCCUCCUCGGUGAGGGACGGUGCGGUGGGCUCCAUGGUGGAGGCGGGAGAUGGCGCUUCUUCCGGGUCCGGGAGCUCGGGCUGCGCCGCCCCGCCCUGGCUGGGGGCUUCGGCCUCCGGGUAAUGGGGAAGAAGGAGAGGAGGCGGAGCGGGUCGGGAGAAAGACGGCCGCCCCUUCGGGAACAGAGGGACUCGGGGGUCAAACCGUAGCGCUUCCGGCCCCGCCUCUGAGGUCGACGGCGACGCGAAUCUACGCGACGCGACGCGGAGCUCGGAGCAGCGUUCCUUCCCUCUCGUAGAGGCUCAGGCGCAGGCACCGCCCCACGGCGAGGCGCGUCGCUUAGCAGAGCCCGCCCUGUCUCUGCGGCAGCCUAUCGACGCCAGCCCGCGGGCCGAUCCUGUUCCCGCCCCCGACCGGAGCCUUUCGGGUGGCUCCGCCCACAGCGGGCGUUUCCUCAAGCCACGCCUGCGCAGGUCGUCGGGGGAGACUGAUGAAGAGACGACUAUCCCCAGACCGUAUUUUAACUACUAUGGCGCUGUGUAAGAAGCAACCUGAGAAGUGUGGAUGAAAAGCUACAGCAUCAUUUUCUUUUCCAAAAUUCAAAUCCGAAAAACAAUCGAAGUCAAGCCUUCUUCAUUUAACCUUUCUAAGAGACUGCAGAGUGAGGAUGAGUAAAGAAAUUAUAGAGUUCAUCUUUCAUCUUUUCCAACAUACUUCAGAAGAAGACAAAAACAGCUAAUCCUUGACAGAAACACUGGAAGGAUUUCUUCUCUGCAAAACUACCCUCUUCCUUCACGCUGAAUCAUCAGAAAGAGGAGCCGGCUGCAUCCCUAAAUUCAUCCCUUAUUUUAAUUAACCCAAGGAUGACAUGGAGGCCUUGGAGACCCUAUACAGUGCUGUGUGUUCAGCAGUAAAUAUCCACCCAUUGUAGUCAGGAGCCAGCAUCUUCAUCAUCCUUUCUUGUUAGAACAAACUUGUCCAACCCAUGGCCCAUGGGCCACAUGUGGCCUAGGACGGCUUUGAAUGCGGCCCAACACAAAUUUGUAAAGUUUCUUAAAACAUUAGGAGAUUUUUU